GACGAACGCUGGCGGCGUGCUUAACACAUGCAAGUCGAACGGAAAGGCCCUGCUUUUGUGGGGUGCUCGAGUGGCGAACGGGUGAGUAACACGUGAGUAAACUGCCCUUGACUUUGGGAUAACUUCAGGAAACUGGGGCUAAUACCGGAUAGGAGCUCCUGCUGCAUGGUGGGGGUUGGAAAGUUUCGGCGGUUGGGGAUGGACUCGCGGCUUAUCAGCUUGUUGGUGGGGUAGUGGCUUACCAAGGCUUUGACGGGUAGCCGGCCUGAGAGGGUGACCGGCCACAUUGGGACUGAGGUACGGCCCAGACUCCUACGGGAGGCAGCAGGGGGGAAUAUUGCACAAUGGGCGGAAGCCUGAGGCAGCAACGCCGCGUGCGGGAUGACGGCCUUCGGGUUGUAAACCGCUUUCGCCGGUGACGAAGCGUGAGUGACGGUAAUGGGUAAAGAAGCACCGGCUAACUACGUG
rnacentral:rRNA from 1 species